AGUAUUUGAAUCGUAUAAUAGUCUCUUGUUAAGUUUGGAAGUCAAACGAGUUGUAGUACGAAAGUCGACAAAGGGCGUCGCAAGUUAAGUUUGUAAAUUCCACUGAAAUUUGGGUCAGAUGUCGUGGAGCUUUUCUCUCAAUCUACUUGGAGUUACGGGGUGAUCCACCUAUCAAAUUUAAGGUCUACAAGUCUAGUUUCCAGCGCAUUUUACCGUUCAUCGAUACGACAUCGGAGUAGAGAGAUAUUCGCAUUUUCGUCCAAGGACGCAAACUGCUACGGGAACAGCGAGUAUGGUCGGUGGCUUCAUUUUAACCCUUGUAUAUAUAUGACCCUUGAACGAUUUUUGCCCCAUUUCUUCAGCUCCACAGACCAGCAAAACCCUAUUAUACUCCCUUAAACAUUCCUUGAUCAAUCCUAACCAAACUUAAAGAGCUAAUCAACCAACUCUAACGCAAGGAACAACGUGGCAAUCAUAGAAUUGUGAUUUUCUCGCUAUUUCACUUCUUGGAAGGAAACCCCACCUUGAAUUAACUUGUAGUUUGGAGUGUUUUUCAUCAUUUAAGGAAAUCGUUCGUAAGACGUUCGAGGACUCGGGAAACAUAUAUAACUCCAUCGACGAGAUACUGGCUCAAAAACUUGUUUCAAAUGAGGAUCUCAGUCAACAGCACUCUGAGAUACUACAAGAAUUGAUACAGUAGUUAGAGACAGGAACCAGCUUGGUGUUUGAAGUAAUUAGGGAUGAUCGUGUCU